AUUAUUUCUCGGCCUUUUGACUAAGAUCAAGUGUAGUAUCUAUUCUUACUGGAAUCUUGAAAAAUAAUAAAAUUAGGGGCUGAGUAGUGGUGCACCUGGUUGAGCGCACAUGCUACAAGGUGCAAGGACCCAGAUUUGAGCUCCUGGUGUCCACCUACA
rnacentral:snRNA from 1 species